GGAUGUGGUAGAGCAGCCAGGCAGCCUAGUUCUAGGGCCUCUGUGGGCUUAACCACCAUAUAACACAGUUCCAGUUUCACUGUGGGGCUGUCAUCUCUCUGAUCAGUGGCAGGAGGUGAUGCCUCAAGCCCUAGAAGGCCCUUUCCUCCAGAAUGUUUUGUGUGGUUAGAAGUCCCACAGUCUCAGGCAUGAGCUACCUUCUGACACAAGCUCCUGAGAGCCCAGGAGUGAAAUGUAUCCCUUGGUGGGGGGGCGGUCACUGUGAGGGCCCCAGCCGUGGUCAGUCACUCACCAGGCCCUCAAAGCAGGAGUAAGCUCACCACCUACAGGGGCCCGCUCUGACAGAGGGUCCCGGAAGCUGCAAAAGUCAUUGUUCCCAAAAAUGGCCUCCUUCUUUCUCACACUCAUGUCCUCACAACGCCCCCUUCUCUCAGAGAAGGCUGCAUGGAGGAAGUGACAUCUAAGCUGGGCUGUGAAGGAUGAGGAGGAGUUCUUACACAGAGGGGAGGAGCACAGACAUUCCAGGUAGAGGGAGCUGCCCAGGCACAGGCUUGCAGCAGGGUGUAUUUAGGGAAUGGGGAGGGCCAAGGUCAGCGAUAAGACUGGGAACAGAGGAGGCUAUGACCUUGGCCUCCAGUCAGUGGGCAAAGGGCAGUUACUGAAGAAUAUGGAGCAGUAGAGCUGCAGGGCAUAUUACUGUUUUAGAAGGACUGCAGACCAUGGCCAUAGGCGGGCACUGGCUGUGGGGCAGCCAGGAGGGAGGCUGUAGCCACAUGCUCCUAUAAUAAUGGUCUGAAUUCAGGUGACGACAGAGAAGGGGUCAGCCAAGAAAUGCUUCUGAAAACUUUGUUGUCAUUGUUGUUCAGUCGCUCAGUCGUGUCCANNNNNNNNNNNNNNNNNNNNNNNNNNNNNGCCAGGCUUCCCUGUCCCUCACCAUCUCCUGCAGUUCGCCCAAGUUCAUGUCCAUUGAAUUGGUGAUGCUAUCCAACCAUCUCAUUCUCUUUGAGGACUUAGGACUGUUGAUUGUGGGGCAGAGGAGUGGAGGUGUUGGGGCUGACCCUUGGGUUCCUGGCUCAGGUGACUGGGGGACAGGUUUCUGGGAGGAGGGGGUGCAUUUGUGUGGAUGGGGGAGAUCUGUUUGGGACUCAAACUCAGGUAAGGCCCAGGUGAAGAUGUCCCUAGGGUUGUUGCUUAUACAGGGGAGUUCAGGAGUGGGCUCUGGUCUAGAGAUAAAGAUCCAAGAGUCCUCAGAGAAGGGAAGAACCUGA
rnacentral:lncRNA from 1 species